rnacentral:rRNA from 1 species
GACGGAAGGUGCAAGCGUUGCUCGGAAUCACUGGGCGUAAAGGGUGCGUAGGCGGCCGUGCAAGUCUGGCGUGAAAGCCCCGGGCUCAACCUGGGAAUGGCAAUGGAAACUGGCGGGCUAGAGUGUGGCAGAGGGGGGUGGAAUUCCGCGUGUAGCAGUGAAAUGCGUAGAGAUGCGGAGGAACACCGAUGGCGAAGGCAGCCCCCUGGGCUAGCACUGACGCUCAGGCACGAAAGCGUGGGGAGCAAACAGG